GACGUAGGGCGCGAGCGUUGUCCGGAUUUAUUGGGCGUAAAGAGCUCGUAGGCGGCUUGUUGCGUCAGCUGUGAAAACCCGCAGCUCAACUGUGGGCUUGCAGCUGAUACGGGCAGGCUUGAGUUCGGUAGGGGAGACUGGAAUUCCAGGUGUAGCGGUGAAAUGCGUAGAUAUCUGGAGGAACACCGGUGGCGAAGGCGGCAUCCUGGACCGGUAUUGACGCUGAGGAGCGAAAGCCAGGGGAGCAAACGGG
rnacentral:rRNA from 1 species